rnacentral:rRNA from 1 species
CCUACGGGGAGCAGCAGUGGGGAAUAUUGGGCAAUGGAGGCAACUCUGACCCAGCAACGCCGCGUGAAUGAUGAAGGUCUUCGGAUUGUAAAGUUCUUUUCUAAGGGAAGAAGCAAGACGGUACCUGACUAAGAAGCCCCGGCUAACUACGUGCCAGCAGCCGCGGUAAUACGUAGGGGGCGAGCGUUAUCCGGAUUCACUGGGUGUAAAGGGAGCGUAGACGGCCAUGCAAGCCAGGGGUGAAAGCCCGGGGCCCAACCCCGGGACUGCCCUUGGAACUGCAUGGCUGGAGUGCGGGAGGGGCAGGCGGAAUUCCUGGUGUAGCGGUGAAAUGCGUAGAUAUCAGGAGGAACACCGGCGGCGAAGGCGGCCUGCUGGACCUCGACUGACGUUGAGGCUCGAAAGCGUGGGGAGCGAACAGGAUUAGAUACCCCAGUAGUC